UGGUGGAAUUUUUGGGGUCACUUAUAUAUACUAUCAUAUUAUCUGAAGAUAGUGAUAUUUUGACUUCUUCCUUUCCAAUUUGUGUCCCCUUGAUAUCCUUUUGUUGUCGAAUUGCUCUGGCUAGAACUUCAAGUACUACAUUAGAUAGGUAGGGAGAAAGUGAGCAUCCUUGUCUAGUCCCUGACUUUAGUGGGAUUGCUUCAAGUUUCUCUCCAUUUAGUUUGAUGUUGGCUACUGGUUUGCUGUAGAUUCCUUUUAUUAUGUUUAUGUAUGGGCCUUGAAUUCCUGAUCUUUCCAAAACUUUUAUCAUGAAGGGGUGUUGGAUUUUGUCAAAUGCUUUCUCUGAAUAUCUAUGCUCCAAAUACAAGGGCAGCCACAUUUAUUAAAGAAACUUUAGUAAAGCUCAAAGCACACAUUGCACCUCACACAAUAAUAGUGGGAGACUUCAACACCCCACUCUUACCAAUGGACAGAUCCUGGAAACAGUAACUAAACAGAGACACAGGGACACUAACAGAAGUUAUGAAACAAAUGGAUCUAAUUGAUAUCUACAGAACAUUUUAUCCUAAAACAAAAGGGUAUACCUUCUUCUCAACGCCACAUGGUACCGCCUCCAAAAUUGACCAUAUAAUUGGUCACAAAACAGGACUCAACAGAUACAAAAAUAUUGAAAUUAUCCCAUGCAUCCUAUCUGAUCAUCACGGACUGAGGCUGAUCUUCAAUAACAACAUAAAUAAUAGAAAGCCAACAUUCACGUGGAAACUGAACAACACUCUUCUCAAUGAUUCCUUGGUCAAGGAUGAAAUGAAGCUUUAGACGCUCUUGUGUUUUGUCUUUGUAAUUUUCUCGUUUUUAGCUCAGAACUCUCUGCAAUGUUUGCUGUUUUGUGUAGACACACAUUUAUUCUGGUUGUUUCUUCAUAAUUCACUGGUUUCUAAAUAAAUUAAGAUGAUCAGCCUUUUUUAAUUAUAAUUCAUUUUUAUUGUAUGAGCAUUGGUUUGUGUUUUGCCUGCAUGUAUGUCUUUGUGAGGGUGUCAGAUCUCCUGGGACUAGAGGUACAGAGAGCUGUGACAUGUGGGUGCUGGGAAUUUAACCAAUGUCCUCUGGAAAAGCAGUCACUGUUCUUAAUUGCUGAGCCAUCUCUCUAGAGACUGCCCCGCCCCCAUUUGUAGCCUUACUUCGUUUAGUUAUUAAGUGCUUAUAUAUUAGAUGGUAUGUCUAUUGAUAUAUUGUAUUUUUUUUCUUGAUAAAACUUUAGUUUGUAGUUUUUAUUAAUUAUCAGUUUGACAAUGAAAAACUUCUUUCAAUAUGUAUGCAUUACCGUUUCAAACUCCGUUUUUCCUUCCUUUUGCAGGUGCUGAUGACUGAACACUUAGACUCACACAUCAUAUGUGGGUAAGCUCUCCCAUCUACCACCUAGCUUCAGGUUUGUCAGCCAUCUCUCCACAUACACAUUAAGCAUUUGAAAAUAGACACUGCUGAUAUUGGAUGAUGUCAAGGUUCAGAAGACCUUCCAGAGGAUUUCGAGGAUCUUCUGUCCUCAAGGAAUCGAUUACAGAUUUCUACUUGCAGAAAAGACUGCUUUGCGGGAACACUUCACUAACCGCUCAAUCCCCAUGAUGCAGUUCUGAAUCCUCCCUGUAACAGGGGGUCUUCGCUCGUGCCUGAAGAUGUUACGUCCCGGGUUUCAGCACCACUCUGUGGUAUGCCUGGCUCACCAGCAAGAAAGACGCCACAGCAGGAUCCUUCUGCAACACAUUUAUUGGGAGAGCAUUGACUGUGUAGGUAAAAGACCCCGAGCCCCAGAACUGGUGCUGUUUAUAUAGGCCUAGGAUUGACGUGUCCACACCUGAUUGGUUGUGCCCUUAGCACCUCAUUCACGUGCCUUGGGUCAGGCAGUGACUCAGCAAAAAACUCUAUGGCACAUGCGCACAUUGGUUGUUUACCGAUAUUCAUGGGCGUCCGCUUAUUGAAACUAGCGCCAUUUUGUAAUGGCGUUUGUGGCUUCCCACAUCUCUUGUAAUGGCGUUUGCAGCUUCCCACACAUCAUCAUGUGAUAAACUGAAGUACAACAUCAGGAGAAAAUAAGUUCUAACCAGCAACAACAGACUACUGGUAUCCCUCAACACAUGUGGCAAAACAUCUAAGUAGCAGCCUAGGCUUGGAACUGGACAAGGCUGUCUAUUGUAGUAGGUCUGUACCAAAACUUGACAAAUACAUUCAGAGUCAAUGAACUAUGAGAGACAUUAAAAGUUUUAACAGUCCUUCCAUAUCCCAAGGAGUUCUACAUGACUAAUAUAACAAAGAAAGUGGCUCUCAUAAGCCAGCAGAGCCUGCCAGUUUUCUCCUCCCCAAAGCUGCUCUGUGCCCUCACUAUAGUGACAGAUGAUGACACUAACGGCAAGAAAUGUACCAGGCCUUGUACUUGAAAAUGUUUGAAAAAGCAUGUACUCAAUUCAAUGUUAACUGUCCUUCAUUCAGUUAAGAAAGAUAAGCCAAAUAGUCCUGAGAGGAAUGAAAUCUAUCUGUAAAAUGCAGGAAAUAGUGGCUACCUGAAGUGUCAUUUAUUUUUAAAUCACAUUUUCUGUUGGAAAAUAAGAGGUGGGAAACAGCACUUCUGCUCUUACUCACGUCAUCCCCAAGUGGAGAGAGCAUGAAAUUGUCCAGUGGUUAUAUAUGACUGUAAUCUCAACAUUUGGGGUGGGGGUCUCAGGUAGGAGAAUCAAGAGUUCAAGGUCAUCUUUGGUUAUAUAGCCAGUUGUCUGGGAUAAAAAAGAACCUGACUCUGCUGUUCAUGUCACAUCACCAGCUCUGAGAAGUCACAGUCUUGGUCCACUCAACUUGCUGUGAAUGGGAAUCUCAGACAGAUUUCCUGCUACUUUGGGCGAAUAGAAAAUGAGGAGUUCAGCUAGUCACAAACACAUUUAAAGAAUAAAAACAUUUUCAGAACAUC
rnacentral:lncRNA from 1 species